rnacentral:rRNA from 1 species
GUGGGGAAUAUUGGACAAUGGGCGAAAGCCUGAUCCAGCCAUACCGCGUGGGUGAAGAAGGCCUUCGGGUUGUAAAGCCCUUUUGUUGGGAAAGAAAAGCAGCCGGUUAAUACCCGGUUGUUCUGACGGUACCCAAAGAAUAAGCACCGGCUAACUUCGUGCCAGCAGCCGCGGUAAUACGAAGGGUGCAAGCGUUACUCGGAAUUACUGGGCGUAAAGCGUGCGUAGGUGGUUGUUUAAGUCUGUCGUGAAAGCCCUGGGCUCAACCUGGGAACUGCGAUGGAAACUGGGCAACUAGAGUGUGGUAGAGGGUAGCGGAAUUCCUGGUGUAGCAGUGAAAUGCGUAGAUAUCAGGAGGAACAUCCAUGGCGAAGGCAGCUACCUGGGCCAACACUGACACUGAGGCACGAAAGCGUGGGGAGCAAACAGGAUUAGAUACCCUAGUAGUCC